rnacentral:rRNA from 1 species
UGAGGAAUAUUGGGCAAUGGGCGCAAGCCUGACCCAGCCACGCCGCGUGUGUGAUGAAGGCCUUCGGGUCGUAAAGCACUGUGGAGAGGGACGAAAACAUGCAGGAGGAAAUGCCUGCGUCUUGACGGUACCUCUUUAGCAAGCACCGGCUAACUCUGUGCCAGCAGCCGCGGUAAUACAGAGGGUGCAAACGUUGCUCGGAUUUACUGGGCGUAAAGCGCGUGUAGGCGGAUACGCAAGUCGGUUGUGAAAUCCCUGGGCUCAACCUAGGAACUGCAUCCGAAACUGUGUGUCUUGAGUAAUGGAGAGGGUGGCGGAAUUCCCGGUGUAGAGGUGAAAUUCGUAGAUAUCGGGAGGAACAUCUGUGGCGAAGGCGGCCACCUGGACAUUCACUGACGCUGAGACGCGAAAGCGUGGGGAGCAAACAGGAUUAGAUACCCCCGUAGUCC